rnacentral:lncRNA from 1 species
CUUGGAUCGAUCGAUCCCCAGCUCCUGGUGAUCUCUUGUACCGUUUCUCCAUUGUUUUAGCUCCGAAUAGGCUCAAUCAUGCACAAGAUGCUCCGAAUCCAGCUCGAGCACCUAUAGCCUGCAAAGGACUCAAGACACAACCGAAAAGACGGACUUUGACACGAUAGAUGACUCAAAACAUGGACUAAACCAAGACUCGAAACCGUUAAAAACGCAACACAUCAAACUCCCCCCGACUUAAAUCUUUGCUUGUCCUCAAGGAAAGCAGAAAUCCUUAUCAAGAGAAGAGGUUUGAAAACACGAGAACUCACAUUUUCUUCGGGAUCAUGUUCUAUCAAUUGCCUGCAAACCACUAUCACACAACUCAUCAAACCGUACUAGACUGUACUUCGCCAUAGCCGUAGCAACAAAAUUAAGUCCCGAAUCUAAAAGAAUUUUCAGAAUCAGAUAACUUAACCUUUUAACAUUCAUUAGCAGUGGCGUGUAUUCUCACAAAGGGGGUAUCGAACACGUUAUGGGCUUGGUCAAAAAGGGCUAAUAUUUAGUGGCUCAAGGUGUUUCGGGUACUCAACAGUAUAAACGGAUGCACGUCAUUAUGCGAAAUCACAGUGAGACACAGACCAACUAGGAGGUACAUAGCUUCCCUUAAGCUCGGAUCAAAUCAACAAACAUAUUAUCCCAAUCAAACCAAUGACUACCCAUGAUGCUUAACAAUAUAACCAAUGGUAACUCGACAUUUCCGGUUCCAAUCACUCUCCUUUCCCGCUUCUUCUUUUCAUUUUCGUUUUUUUUUUUUUUUUAAGCGGGGGAGUGGAACCGGUGUCUCACAAAAAUCUGCAUCAAGAAAAAUCGCAAACAGCAGCAUACACCCAUGAAUAUAACCUCUAAACCACAAUGGCUCAAUCUCAUCACAUAUCGACAACCAGUAAACUACAACUCACUAUCCUAACAAAAGGAAAGCUAUGUCGGUCCGUAUACUCCGUAGUUUUCGCACAUGGAUGCAUAUCAUGAUGAUCAUAUAAGAAUGCAUGAGGUUUCAAACAAUGGGUGGGGAAACAGGUGCGGUACUAGACUAAAAAUGAGUCUAGCUAUUCAGAGUUAGCAAAGAGUGAUAAAAAUGAUGCGAACAAAACUCUGAAUGUAUGAUCCAUUACAUGAUUCUCAAGCCCCUAAGUGAGAUAAAUUAAGUCCAGAUUAAGUUCAAGUAUAUAAGAUUAAGCUCAAUUCAUCCAAAUUUCAAAGAGAUAGGGACUACUAUAAAGCGAUCAAGUGAUGGACUUUCCUGAACUUCCAAGUUAUCGAAUAGUGCUAAAAUGAGCCCAAGGCAAUGAAAUCAAACAUGGUGCAAUUCCCUAAGAAAAGAUCAUAGUUCUCAGACAACAUUUUGACUCAAUAAAAGACACGAUUUUGACUCGAUAAAACAGACUCGAUGACUCAAAAAGAAAAACAUCAAAAUGACUCAAGGAAACAUCAAAAAUGCGAACUAGAUUAGUAGACAAGUGGCAGCCUCCCCCCGACUUGCUUCACACCGACUCGGUGUGAAAACAAUUCGAAAGGAAGAUGCCAGACACACUCAAAAGAAAUUUAAAAAAAAAAGUGAAAAUGCGAAAAGGAGAAAGAGAAAACUUACUUGGGAUACAUGGUGGGUUGCCUCCCACUAAGCGCUUGUUUUAGGUCGUAAGCUUGACCGCUCAACACAAAAUAUUAAUCAUAAGAAUCAAAAGGUUGUGCCAGUGGACCUUUUGUCCUUCUCCUGUUAGUGAAAGAAAUGAGAUGUGCCAAGUAACACACAAUUAUCCAUGGUAAAGAGAUAAAAUUCAUAUCAAGAAAAAUUAC